CAUCCACAUCAUUGCCAUACUCACCGAUGGUGGCAUUGAAGAACCGGUUGUGGUAGCGGUGCCCAUAGCUUGCCAAGGCAUGGGAUUAGAUGGAUAGCCCUUAUCAGAGAUGCUACCAAAUUGAAAUGUACUUUAUCCUCUUAUUGCAUGCAACAUUGACGAGAGAUAAAUUUGGCAAGUCACAUGCUUGUUUCAAUGCCAAAACUGCCGAAGGUAUUAAGAUCAGAAUUAUGGAGAC
rnacentral:lncRNA from 1 species